CCCUUAGAUGUCCGGGGCCGUACGCGCGCUACAAUGGAUGAAUCAACGCGUCAUCCUGGCCCGAAAGGGUUGGGGAACCGCUGAACCUCAUCCGUGGUUGGGAUUGGGGUUUGUAAUUAUUCCCCAUGAACUAGGAAUUCCCAGUAAGCGCGAGUCAUAAGCUCGCGUUGAUUACGUCCCUGCCCUUUGUACACACCGCCCGUCGCUACUACCGAUUGGAUGGUUUAGUGAGAUCCUCGGAUUGGUCACGGCACGGUGGCAACACUGCGUCGGUGUGCCGAGAAGACGAUCAAACUUGAUCAUCUAGAGGAAGUAAAAGUCGUAACA
rnacentral:rRNA from 1 species